rnacentral:lncRNA from 10 species
GUAACACUCACAGCGAAGAUCUGCAGCUUCACUCCUGAGCCCAGCAAGACCACGAGCCCACCGGCAGGAAUGAACAACUCCAGACACGCUACCCUAAGAGCUGUAACACUCACCGCAAAGGUCUGCAGCUUCACUCUUGAGCCAGCGAGACCACGAACCCACCAGAAGGAAGAAACUCCGAACACAUCUGAACAUCAGAAGGGACAGACUCCAGACGUGCCACCUUAAGAGCUGUAACACUCACCGCGAGGGUCCGCGGCUUCAUUCUUGAAGUCAGUGAGACCAAGAACCCAUCAAUUCCGGACACAAAGACGCUCAACAGCAUCAGAGAAAAAGAGCUGUAAAAUACUGACAUUUGGAUGUUACACUAAUAAGAAGCCCUUUCGUGCAGAUGAAAGGACAUGUUAUGCACAGACACCCUCUGAGAGGUUCUCAAGUAAGAGACAGGUAACAACCACAGAUAUGUGAGGAAAACCUCCAAAAUGAAAGCAAGAGCUUAUAAAAUCAAACAGAAAUAAAAAAGAACCUGGAAGAAACAAAGCAAUGCACAGAGAAGGCCAAAGUUAUAAUUUAUAUCCUUAGAAGGCAAAACAAAGUUAUAAUUUAUAUCCUUACAGCAAAAAGAGAAAAUAUAGCAGCCAUAUAGAAAGCAAAAUAGAAUGCUAUAACUCAUCAACAACAGAGAACACAAAGUCGCUCUUUGAAUUAAAAAAGUAGAAUAGCAGAAAUAAAAAAAUUCAGUAGGAAGGUUGGAAGAUAAAGCCCAGGAUAUCUGCUAUAAAAACAAAUAAACAGAUGAAAAUAUUUUUUAAAACCGAAAUAUAAGAAUGAUUAGAAUUAGAUUAGGAUCUGUCAGGAAAUUUAACUUCAAAGAAACAGCAUUUCCAGAAAAAGAGAAUAGAAAGAGGGAGAAGAGAAAAAUCAUCAAAGAAACAAUAGAAGAAAAUUACACAGAAUUUUUUAGACACGGAUUUCCAUAUUGAAAGGCCUCUUAAGAACCUAGCACAAUCAGUGAAAAAAUACACAUCCCGAAGCUCAUUACUGUGAAAAUUUCAAGCACCAGGGAUAAACAGAUCAUAAAAGUUUUCAGAGAGGGAAAUACAAAAGGCAUGACAAUCAGAAAGUAGGACUAGAGGCUAGGGAAGCAUAAGACACAGGACUUUAACAUUAUUUGACUUCUAAAACAAUGAACAGAAAUUUUUAUAAACACUAAGCAAUAAUAACUGCACAAAAGUACAAAAUAAAUAAACGAAUAAAAAAUAAUUUUUUUUUUUGAGAUGGAGUUUCGCUCUUGUCACCCAGGCUGGGGUGCAGAGGUGUGAUUUCGGCUCACUGCAACCUCUGUCUCCCAGGUUCAAGUGAUUCUCCUACCUCAGCCUUGCCAGUAGCUGGGAUUACAAGCGCCCAACACCACACCCGGCUGAUUUUUGUAUUUUUAGUAGAGACGAGGUUUCGCCAUGUUGGCCAGGCUUGUCUCGAACUCCUGACCUCAGGUGAUCUGCUUGCCUCGACCUCCCAAAGUGCUGGGAUUACAGGCGUGAGCCACCACGCUCAGCCAAAAAAUAAAUUUAUUUAAUGUUCUUUAGUAGUACCAUUGUUUUAAAUAUACUGUGUUAACUCAUUUAACUCUCAUAACACCCCAGGAGACUAUUAGCCUCAUUUCACAGGUGAGGAAACAGGCAUUGACAGGUCAAGUAAUUUCUCCAUAAUGACACAAGUAGCAAGUCGUGGAGCCAAAGUUCUAGCUUUCUGAACGUGGUCUUUUUAAAAACUGCAAGAUAACAUCUCUCAACUGUAAAAGUAAAAUUAAUUUUAAGAAAGAAAAGAAAAUACUACUUGAAUUCCCUACCUUGCUGAUCUGUUCCUAGACCAACUAUGGUUAAUUAAAAGUUCUGCCAUCAUGAAAAACGCUAUGCUCCUUGCCAAGCCACAAAAGUGGAUGUGUAUUUGUGAAGGGGGAGGGGGUGGAGAUUUGAGGGUAUUUCCUAGUAUUUUGAAUAUUCAUGUGUAAAAGGACUUUAUGUUAUGUGCUUGUGAUCUGCUGCUAGAUAGUCCAUAAAGCAGAUUCCGUAACCUAAUUGCAUUGACAACCUCCACCAAAGGAAAUGAUGCACUUACAUCAGAUCACCACUGCGUAUUAAGAACAAAGCCUAUAAAAAUUGC